GAUGAACGCUGGCGGCGUGCCUAAUACAUGCAAGUCGAGCGAACAGACGAGGAGCUUGCUCCUCUGACGUUAGCGGCGGACGGGUGAGUAACACGUGGAUAACCUACCUAUAAGACUGGGAUAACUUCGGGAAACCGGAGCUAAUACCGGAUAAUAUAUUGAACCGCAUGGUUCAAUAGUGAAAGACGGUUUUGCUGUCACUUAUAGAUGGAUCCGCGCCGCAUUAGCUAGUUGGUAAGGUAACGGCUUACCAAGGCAACGAUGCGUAGCCGACCUGAGAGGGUGAGCGGCCACACUGGAGCUGAGACACGCUCCAGACUCCUACGGGAGGCAGCAGUAGGGAAUCUUCCGCAAUGGGCGAAAGCCUGACGGAGCAACGCCGCGUGAGUGAUGAAGGUCUUCGGAUCGUAAAACUCUGUUAUUAGGGAAGAACAAAUGUGUAAGUAACUAUGCACGUCUUGACGGUACCUAAUCAGAAAGCCACGGCUAACUACGUG
rnacentral:rRNA from 1 species